GCUAAUACCGCAUAAGACCUCAGCAUCUCAUGAUACAGUGGUAAAAACUCCGGUGGUGUAGGAUGGACCCGCGUCUGAUUAGCUAGUUGGUGAGGUAGAGGCUCACCAAGGCGACGAUCAGUAGCCGGCCUGAGAGGGUGGACGGCCACAUUGGGACUGAGACACGGCCCAAACUCCUACGGGAGGCAGCAGUGGGGAAUAUUGCACAAUGGGGGAAACCCUGAUGCAGCGACGCCGCGUGAAGGAUGAAGGUUUUCGGAUCGUAAACUUCUAUCAGCAG
rnacentral:rRNA from 1 species